CCGCGGUAAUACGUAGGGUGCAAGCGUUGUCCGGAAUUAUUGGGCGUAAAGAGCUCGUAGGCGGUUUGUCGCGUCUGCUGUGAAAUCUGGGGGCUCAACCCCCAGCCUGCAGUGGGUACGGGCAGACUAGAGUGCGGUAGGGGAGAUUGGAAUUCCUGGUGUAGCGGUGGAAUGCGCAGAUAUCAGGAGGAACACCGAUGGCGAAGGCAGAUCUCUGGGCCGUUACUGACGCUGAGGAGCGAAAGCAUGGGGAGCGAACAGGAUUAGAUACCCUGGUAGUCCAUGCCGUAAACGUUGGGAACUAGAUGUAGGGGCCAUUCCACGGUUUCUGUGUCGCAGCUAACGCAUUAAGUUCCCCGCCUGGGGAGUACGGCCGCAAGGCUAAAACUCAAAGGAAUUGACGGGGGCCCGCACAAGCGGCGGAGCAUGCGGAUUAAUUCGAUGCAACGCGAAGAACCUUACCAAGGCUUGACAUAUACCGGAAACGUCCAGAGAUGGUCGCCCCGCAAGGUCGGUAUACAGGUGGUGCAUGGUUGUCGUCAGCUCGUGUCGUGAGAUGUUGGGUUAAGUCCCGCAACGAGCGCAACCCUCGUUCUAUGUUGCCAGCACGUUAUGGUGGGAACUCAUAGGAGACUGCCGGGGUCAACUCGGAGGAAGGUGGGGAUGACGUCAAAUCAUCAUGCCCCUUAUGUCUUGGGCUUCACGCAUGCUACAAUGGCCGAUACAAAGGGCUGCAAUACCGUAAGGUGGAGCGAAUCCCAAAAAGUCGGUCUCAGUUCGGAUUGAGGUCUGCAACUCGACCUCAUGAAGUCGGAGUCGCUAGUAAUCGCAGAUCAGCAACGCUGCGGUGAAUACGUUCCCGGGCCUUGUACACACCGCCCGUCAAGUCAUGAAAGUCGGUAACACCCGAAGCCGGUGGCCCAACCCCUUGUGGGAGGGA
rnacentral:rRNA from 1 species